rnacentral:rRNA from 1 species
GAACCGUACAAACGUUAUUCGGAAUCACUGGGCUUAAAGGGUGCGUAGGCGGUCCGGCAAGUUGGGUGUGAAAUCCCUCGGCUCAACCGAGGAAUGGCGCUCAAAACUGCCGGACUUGAGGGAGACAGAGGUGAGCGGAACUUGCGGUGGAGCGGUGAAAUGCGUUGAUAUCGCAAGAAACACCAGUAGCGAAAGCGGCUCACUGGGUCUCUUCUGACGCUGAGGCACGAAAGCUAGGGGAGCGAACGGGGGAUUAGAUACCCCGGUAGUCCUAGCUGUAAACGAUGAGCACUGGGUUGGAGGCUCCUCCAUAGGCUUCCUGCCGUAGCGAAAGUGUUAAGUGCUCCGCCUGGGGAGUAUGGUCGCAAGGCUG